AAAGCCCCUCCCGAAGAAGGGGCCUUGUAUAAGGAAAGGGUUAUGAUGAAGUUCGUCAUCAUACUGGUUGUGUUGUUACUGUUAAGUUUCCCGACUUACUAACAACUCAUCAGAGGGGGGAGAAAUCCUCCCUUACCCUUGU
rnacentral:antisense_RNA from 1 species